rnacentral:rRNA from 1 species
UACGUAGGGUGCGAGCGUUAAUCGGAAUUACUGGGCGUAAAGCGUGCGCAGGCGGCGCGUUUAAGACAGGUGUGAAAGCCCCCGAGCUUAACUUGGGAAUUGCGCUUGUGACUGGCGAGCUGGAGUGUGGCAGAGGGAGGUGGAAUUCCACGUGUAGCAGUGAAAUGCGUAGAGAUGUGGAGGAACACCGAUGGCGAAGGCAGCCCCCUGGGUCAACACUGACGCUCAUGCACGAAAGCGUGGGGAGCAAACAGG